UACGAAGGGGGCUAGCGUUGCUCGGAAUUACUGGGCGUGAAGCGCACGUAGGCGGCUUUCUAAGUCGGGGGUGAAAUCCUGGAGCUCAACUCCAGAACUGCCUUCGAUACUGGAGAGCUUGAGUCCGGGAGAGGUGAGUGGAACUGCGAGUGUAGAGGUGAAAUUCGUAGAUAUUCGCAAGAACACCAGUGGCGAAGGCGGCUCACUGGCCCGGUACUGACGCUGAGGUGCGAAAGCGUGGGGAGCAAACAGG
rnacentral:rRNA from 1 species